AUUGAACGCUGGCGGCAGGCCUAACACAUGCAAGUCGAACGGUAACAGGAAGCAGCUUGCUGCUUCGCUGACGAGUGGCGGACGGGUGAGUAAUGUCUGGGAAACUGCCUGAUGGAGGGGGAUAACUACUGGAAACGGUAGCUAAUACCGCAUAACGUCGCAAGACCAAAGAGGGGGACCUUAGGGCCUCUUGCCAUCGGAUGUGCCCAGAUGGGAUUAGCUAGUAGGUGGGGUAACGGCUCACCUAGGCGACGAUCCCUAGCUGGUCUGCGAGGAUGACCAGCCACACUGGAACUGAGACACGGUCCAGACUCCUACGGGAGGCAGCAGUGGGGAAUAUUGCACAAUGGGCGCAAGCCUGAUGCAGCCAUGCCGCGUGAAUGAAGAAGGCCUUCGGGUUGUAAAGUACUUUCAGCGGGGAGGAAGGAAGUAAAGUUAAUACCUUUGCGCAUUGACGUUACCCGCAGAAGAAGCACCGGCUAACUCCGUG
rnacentral:rRNA from 1 species